UAUGAGUUCACUUUGCCCAAAGGCAGACACAAUUUUACUGAAUGCAUUUCCUCUGAACUCAGUGGUUAAAGCUAUGGCUGUAAAGGAGUGUGAGUAGUACUGUGACCAUCCCCCUUGAGAGUGGGUUAUCUUGACGAAUCAAAUUACAGCCCAUCUGAGCAGAGCCCUUGCUUCUCAGGCAGACCUGGUGUCUCCAGCUGAUGAUUUGUCCCUGUCUGAAGGAGCUUCUGGAUCCAGUUGUGUGAUUGCUGCACUAGGAAACACCUGGAGUCACAGUGUGAAUACCCGACUGAUCCUCCAGUACCUUGAUUCAGAGAGAAGACAGGUGAGUGCUCUGACCAUGUUCCAUCUAGGUCAAAGAACAAGAUGUGCCUAGAGAUCAGAGCAUCUUCAGAAAGUGUCAGGCACCUCUUCUUUCUGGGCUGGCACUGGCAAGGGAAGCAUAAAG
rnacentral:lncRNA from 1 species